UUUAGCGAAGAUGAGGUUGUAAAGCUGUAGCUUGUAUUCUGCUGGAUGAUUGUCCUUCUGUUUAUAUACACUGAUGGAUAUCUAAUUGGCAAAUCCUUUUCACUACAGGCGAGAUUCUUCUUUCAGCAGCUAAUAUCUGGAGUCAGCUACUGUCAUUCCAUGGAAAUUUGUCACAGGGAUCUGAAACUUGAAAAUACACUUUUGGAUGGAAGCCCUACGCCCCGACUUAAAAUAUGUGAUUUUGGUUAUUCCAAGGUUCAUGCUUGUUUGUAUAAUUUUCUUCUUCAUUCUGCUCCUGGAGAUUCUUUCUAUUAAAUUUUGAAUAUUUUCCUUUUUUUAAUAAUAAAUUUAAUAAUAAAUUCAGUCUGCUCUGUUGCACUCGCAACCCAAAUCUACAGUUGGAACACCUGCGUACAUUGCUCCUGAAGUUCUAUCUCGAAAAGAAUAUGAUGGCAAGGUACCUAGUUUUAAUUUGUCAUGGAACAUAGCUAAAAGGCCACUUCAGGUUUACUGUUCUGCUUUUCUAGAGAGCCUAACUUUGCAUCUGUUAUUUAAUUAAUUGGUAUAUGAACAUUCAAUUUUAUCAGUCUGAGAUUGUGUUUGCUAUAAAAAAGAAUAAUACAGUUGAAUCAUCAAAGCAAUAGAAAUAUUGACAUGGAGUAAGGGGUUUUCUUUUUAUAUUAAAUCUUUUGGUUCAAGAAGAAAAGUGAUGCUAGAUCCUUUAAGAACAAUGUGGUGUUGUUUCCUGCAUUUUUUUGUCCUCCUUUUUCUCAUUCUUUUUCCUUUUUUUUUUAAAAAAUAAAAAAAGAGAAAAUGAAAGUUAUUGUUACCGAUCUCCGAAUUUGAAUUCAAUUCAAAAGAAGGAGAAGACAAGAAGCCUUAAACAUUUACUCUGUGGAACUGUAUAUAUAACAUAUAGAGAUAAAAACAUCAUAAUGAAAAUGCUCAUUAUAGAGAUAAAAACAUCAUAAUGAAAAUGCUCAUGACUGUUAAAUUUCUUGAGUUAAUGCUUGUUUACUUGUUCUUGUUCUUGUUCUGUGAAAACCAUUAUGUUGAUUGUCCAAAGCAGUGAGCUCCAUUGUUUUAGAUUUUUGGAAACUCAAGUGUGAGAUAGUCAUCUGGAUGAAGCUUUUCAAUGUGACACCUCGUUUGGUCUUACCUUCAUCGAUUUCCUAUAAAGUCAGAAACUAUCAUUCUGCCGUUUUUAUAGUGGUUGAACAUACAAUUCUGCAGUCUUCAUACUGCAGUGCUUUAUAUUCUUCAAUUUAACAGUCUAAAAAAGAUGUGAUGUUCUUAAGCAUAUUUCUAGAGUAUAGAGUUGCUUACGGAAGCUUGUAGGCAUGAUCGCAUGGUCAGAUGAGAGUGGAAAGAAUUUCAGCUGCUUUAUUUAAGAUGGACUGUAGCAUCAAGAAGUCAUAUCUUUGUAUCUUUAUACUUUUGGCAUAGUGCUUGACUACUAUUCCAGACAAAUUUCUUGAUUUAGCUAUACAUUUUUUGUAUCCCAUCAUUAUGGGACAAAAAUGAUGUCCUUUUCUCACCUUGCGUGGUCAUUUGUUGGUUUAUCAAUUUUAGAUUUCAGAUGUUUGGUCGUGUGGGGUGACAUUAUAUGUGAUGUUGGUGGGAGCAUACCCUUUUGAGGAUCCUGAAGACCCUAGGAAUUUCCGUAAGACCAUUGGGAGAAUAAUGAGCGUUCAAUACUCCAUACCAGACUAUGUACGAGUCUCUGCAGAUUGCAAGCACCUCCUUUCUCGUAUUUUUGUGGCUAAUCCUGCCAAGGUAAUACCAAGCAACAUUUUCUUCAUGGUCUUCUCUCUGUUCUUUGACAGUUUUAAUAGAAGUACAAGGAAGCAUAGGAAAAUGAAUGAUCUCAUCAGUUUCACCAAGUACUAAAGAAACUUGCUCAAUUUGUCUUAGCUUAUGAAAUGCAACUCUUCUGUUUUUCCAUACUUGUGUUUGGGAUUGUUUCUGAAUAAGUUCUGGAAAAUUGAUGAUCAACAUUUGGAUUCGUCUUUUAUGGAUGACAUCAAGUUCUCCUCCUUGUAAAAUUUGCUAAAAGACAAAAUGAAAAAGAAUAAAUUUGAUGUAAGAUAGAUAGGAGGGGCCAAUUUGGUGUAUAUCAAUGCUUGAUUAGCUUUUUAUAUUGUGCUAAUACCAUCUGAGUCCUCCUUAAAGAGGAUUACCAUCCCAGAGAUCAAGCAGCACCCUUGGUUUCUAAAAAAUUUUCCGAAGGAGCUCAUUGAAAUUGAGAAGAAAAACUUUGCGGAAUCAGAACGCGAUCAACCAAGUCAGAGUGUUGAUGAAGUAAUGUGUAUCAUACAAGAGGCAAAGAUGCCUGGGGAAGGUGCGAAAGUCAGUGAGCAAGCUAUUGCUGGUACAUCUGAUGACUGGGAUGCUGAUUUGGAAUCUGAAAUUGAUGCAAGUGGUGACAUUGGGCCCCCUAUCUAAGCAUGAGCUGACAAAUUAUGUGGAAAGGAUUGUGUUCCUAGUUUCAAUUGAUUUCAGAUCAAGUCUCACUUGCCUCUGUGAAUCUAUUUUCAUUGUGAAGUAUUGGUGUUGCCUUGGAUUGAAGUUAAAGUAGUGCAUAUAUACCACCAUGUGGCGAAAUGGGUCUUGUAUUUACUGUGUAAAAAUUUGCAGGAUCGCAUGCUUCAUUGGAGGAAUUUUAGCCAUUGGCUUCAAGAACAUUGUGCUUUCCCUCCCCCCCCCCUCAACAAUGUAUUGUUUACGGUGGUGUUAAAUUGUUACAAAGACAGGUUUGUAUUUGUUUCUGUGAUGAAAAGUCAGCAUAAAACUUUCACUCAUUCUCACGUGUAAUACAAGUGUAGAUUGUGAUCAGAUUACAAGAAGUUUUACAAAUCUGUUAUCAUUCUGUUUCUUGUUCAGCUAAGCAAACCAUUUCUC
rnacentral:misc_RNA from 1 species